rnacentral:rRNA from 1 species
CCUACGGGAGGCUGCAGUGGGGAAUAUUGGACAAUGGGGGGAACCCUGAUCCAGUGACGCCGCGUGAGUGAAGAUGUAUUUCGGUAUGUAAAGCUCUAUCAGCAGGGAAGAAAGAAAUGACGGUACCUGACUAAGAAGCCCCGGCUAACUACGUGCCAGCAGCCGCGGUAAUACGUAGGGGGCAAGCGUUAUCCGGAUUUACUGGGUGUAAAGGGUGCGUAGGCGGAAUGCCAAGUCAGCGGUAAAAUCGCGGGGCUCAACCUCGCUCCGCCGUUGACACUGGUGUUCUUGAGUGGGCGAGAAGUAUGCGGAAUGCGUGGUGUAGCGGUGAAAUGCAUAGAUAUCACGCAGAACUCCGAUUGCGAAGGCAGCAUACCGGCGCCCAACUGACGCUGAAGCACGAAAGCGUGGGUAUCGAACAGGAUUAGAUACCCCAGUAGUC